rnacentral:rRNA from 1 species
CCGGCUUCGGGUGUUGCCGACUUUCGUGACUUGACGGGCGGGGUGUACAAGGCCCGGGAACGUAUUCACCGCAGCGUGGCUGAUCUGCGAUUACUAGCGACUCCGACUUCAGGGGGUCGAGUUGCAAACCCCAAUCCGAACAGAGACCGGCUUGUAGGGAUUCGCUCCACCUCGCGGGCUCGCAGCCCUUUGUACCGUCCAUUGUAGCAUGUGUGAAGCCCAAGACAUAAGGGGCAUGAUGAUUUGACGUCAUCCCCACCUUCCUCCGGGUUGACCCCGGCAGUCUCCUAUGAGUGCCCACCAUGACGGGCUGGAAACAUAAGAGGAGGGGUGCGCUCGUGGCGGGACUUAACCCAAUAUCUCACGACGCGAGCUGACGACAACCAUGCACCACCUGUACACCAGUCCCAACAAGAAACCAUCUCUGGCCGAUUCCGGUGAAGGUCAAGGCAUGGUAAGGUGGUUCUCGUUGCUUCGAAUAAAUCAACAGGCUCCGCCCCUGGUGUGGGCCCCCCCCAAUUAUUUUUUGUUUUAUCCUUGCGGCCGACCUCCCCAGGCGGGGGUUUUCUGUUUUAGCUGCUGUGCGGAACUGCUGGAAUGAAACCCACUAGUAGUGACCAAUGAUUGCGGGAAGGACUAG